CCUACGGGGGGCAGCAGUGGGGAAUAUUGCACAAUGGGGGAAACCCUGAUGCAGCGACGCCGCGUGAGCGAUGAAGUAUUUCGGUAUGUAAAGCUCUAUCAGCAGGGAAGAAAAUGACGGUACCUGACUAAGAAGCCCCGGCUAACUACGUGCCAGCAGCCGCGGUAAUACGUAGGGGGCAAGCGUUAUCCGGAUUUACUGGGUGUAAAGGGAGCGUAGACGGCGGUGCAAGCCAGAUGUGAAAGCCCGGGGCUCAACCCCGGGACUGCAUUUGGAACUGUGCUGCUAGAGUGCAGGAGAGGUAAGUGGAAUUCCUAGUGUAGCGGUGAAAUGCGUAGAUAUUAGGAGGAACACCAGUGGCGAAGGCGGCUUACUGGACUGUAACUGACGUUGAGGCUCGAAAGCGUGGGGAGCAAACAGGAUUAGAUACCCGGGUAGUC
rnacentral:rRNA from 1 species